rnacentral:rRNA from 1 species
GAUGAACGCUGGCGGCGUGCCUAAUACAUGCAAGUCGAGCGAACAGACGAGGAGCUUGCUCCUCUGACGUUAGCGGCGGACGGGUGAGUAACACGUGGAUAACCUACCUAUAAGACUGGGAUAACUUCGGGAAACCGGAGCUAAUACCGGAUAAUAUAUUGAACCGCAUGGUUCAAUAGUGAAAGACGGUUUUGCUGUCACUUAUAGAUGGAUCCGCGCCGCAUUAGCUAGUUGGUAAGGUAACGGCUUACCAAGGCAACGAUGCGUAGCCGACCUGAGAGGGUGAUCGGCCACACUGGAACUGAGACACGGUCCAGACUCCUACGGGAGGCAGCAGUAGGGAAUCUUCCGCAAUGGGCGAAAGCCUGACGGAGCAACGCCGCGUGAGUGAUGAGGGUCUUCGGAUCGUAAAACUCUGUUAUUAGGGAUGAACAAAUGUGUAAGUAACUAUGCACGUCUUGACGGUACCUAAUCAGAAAGCCACGGCUAACUACGUG